rfam:Leuconostoc citreum KM20, complete genome.
UUACAUAUGUUAUACUAGAUGAAGCAAACAAGUUAAGACGGUGGCUAUCCCGAACGGAGGUGGUGCUUAUGGUGUAAUCACUAUAAACCCAGAUUCUAGGAAAGGAAAUGCCUCAUGUCCCUUUCGGACACACUGCAAACGUUACUAGCUUUUGGUAUCUUUAUCAUCAGUUUACUAACGUUUGUAG